rnacentral:rRNA from 1 species
GGGCCAGACUCCUACGGGAGGCAGCAGUGAGGAAUAUUGGUCAAUGGGCGGAAGCCUGAACCAGCCAAGUCGCGUGAGGGAAGAAGGCCCUGCGGGUCGCAGACCUCUUUGGACGGGGAGCAAGGCCGCCGACGUGUCGGCGGAAGGAGAGUACCCGUAGAACAAGCAUCGGCUAACUCCGUGCCAGCAGCCGCGGUAAUACGGAGGAUGCGAGCGUUAUCCGGAUUUACUGGGUGUAAAGGCGGCGCAGACGGCGAUGCAAGCCAGGAGGGAAAGCCCGGGGCCCAACCCCGGGACUGCUCUUGGAACUGCGUGGCUGGAGUGCAGGAGGGGCAGGCGGAAUUCCUGGUGUAGCGGUGAAAUGCGUAGAUAUCAGGAGGAACACCGGUGGCGAAGGCGGCCUGCUGGACCGUGACUGACGUUGAGGCUCGAGAGCGUGGGGAGCAAACAGGAUUAGAUACCCGGGUAAC